GUUCUCCAAGUCCCCACUAGACUUAGGAGCCCAGCUGGCUUCACUUAGUGGAUCCUGCACAAGGGCCCCAGGUGGAGCUGCCUGCUAGUCCCUCCCAGUGCGCACGCACUCCUCAGCCCUUGGGCCGUCAAUGGGACCGGGCGCCAGGGAGCAGGGGGCGGCGCUCAUUGGGGAGGCUCAGACAGCCCAGGAGCCCACAGGGGUGGGGAGGCUCAGGCAUGGCUGGCUGCAGGUCCUGAGCCCCACCCCGCGGGGGUGCAGCUGAGGCCCGGCGAGAAUUCCAGCGCAGCGCAGCGCUGGCGGGCCGGCACUGCUGGGGGACCCGGCUCACCCUCCGCAGCUGCUGGCCCAGGUGCUAAGCCCUUCACUGCCUGGGGCUGGCGGCGCCGGCCGCUCAGAGUGUGGGCCGCGGAGCCCACGCCUACCCGGAACUCACGCUCGCCCUGGAGAGCGGGUGUGCAGCCCCAGUUCCCGCCCGCGCCUCUCCCUCCACACCUCUCUGCAAGCAGAGGGAGACGGCUCCAGCCUCAGCCAGCCCAGAGACGGGGUCCCACAGUGCAGCGGCAGGCUGAAGGGCUCCUCAAGCGUGGCCCGAGGAGACGCCAAGGCCCAGGAAGCGCUGAGAGCGAGAGACGGCCGCCAGCACGUUGUCACCUCUCACAGUGACCUUGGCAGAUGCGUGGAUGCUGACGAAAAUUGUACAAGAGAAUUUAUGAACAAAAACAAAAGAGACAAAUGGCGAAAAAUAUUUGAAGUACUUUUUCUUGGGCUGGCUCUUCUCCAAAUGACAACUGAUAAUUAGCAGGUAUUUGAGGUCCAGAAGAUGAUGGGCAAGAUGAAAAACCUGAUCACUGCAGAAAAAAAGAAUCAGAAGUACAGCCAGGACCAGAUGCUGAAGAAGAUCAAUUUGAUGUGGAUUCAUAGACUCUAUGGGAUAAAUCAGGCAACAAAGCCAGUGGGAAUUAAGAAGCAGGCAGAAGCAGAGCCAGGAGGUACACAGCUGAUUUAGCAUCUUUAUAGCUAUGAGUUUUCUUUUAAGCUCAUUCCCCUCUAAGAUACAUCUAUUGGUUUUGAAGUUACUGCUCCCUGAGACCAAUCUCAAUGGCGUUCUUGAACUUGAAAUCAAAAAGAUCUGCAUCCUCCUUCCAGCUCUGACAAGUAUUAGCUGCAUAAACCUAGACAAAAUAUUUAUAUUAUUUGAAUUAUAAUGGGCAACAUAAUAUCUCACUCAGAAAUAUUAUGAAGAUUAAAUAAAAUAUUGAGUGUCAGCUACACAGCACACUGUAGGCUCUUCAUGAUGUUAUCCCCUCCCUGUGCAUUCAUGCUUACAACACCCUUGAAGCCCUCUGGAAUAGAAAGUAUCCAGGUUUCAUGUUGUGGUGAUAGGGGAAAAUGGUCAUAUGAUAGAGGUGUUAUUACACCGGUGGAAAGUGUGAUGCCAGAUAAGCCACUUAAAGAUGCAACCCGUUCCUAACUUAGCAAGUACUGAGACCAGCUUCAGUGCCAGCAAAGUUUAAUACCCAUUCCCAUGAGCAUGGGACCCAGCAGGGUCAAAUGUAAGAUGAGUUCCUCUAAGUCGGGGUGAAGGAGAACUCAUGCUAUACAAAGCUUUCAUGGAGAAGACUAGGAGCAGGAGAUACAAAGUGUGCAAGUCAAUCAUGACUGUUAAUAAUAAGCAUAUAUAUAUACAUGCACACACACAUAUAGAUAUGAAACUAAGCACCUGCCAUGUGCCAGAGUCUGUGCUGGGAGUUUUACGUCUCAUUCAUUCUCAUAAUUCCUGCACGGUAAGUAUUAAUAUUGCCAUUUUAUAGAUGGGGACAUUGAUCUUCAAAGAGGUAAAAUAACUUGUCCAAAUUACACAGCCAGCAAGUAAUAGUAACGAAUCUGUUCAACUCUGUAUGCUUGGAUCUUAUUUUUGAUUCAUUGAUUUAUUUCGGAGGCUGAAAUAAUGUGGGGAUUUUGAUAUGGUUCUUCCGCUACAGGGACCUGCUACCAGUUAACCAGAGAUUUAACCUGAAAUUUUGAUUGCUGUUGUAUAGGCCCCUCCAA
rnacentral:lncRNA from 10 species